AGGCACAUCUAAAAUGUUUUCUGAGAGUCUAUUAGGACCAGCCUUAAAAACAUGUAUUUGAAAGUGAAACUCAAGAGGCUCCUGGGCCAGAACUCACUCUAAGGAGAGAAGAGACCAGACAUAAAGACUUGAUCAUUGGAAGAUGAGUUCCUGGAUAAUGUUAUUAGCUUUCAAGCAUGUGAUGCAUCCCAAGAGAGCUGUUGACUUCCAGUCUGACCAAAUUCUUUCACGUCGUGGCGUGUACGAUGUAUAAACGUUUUGGAAUGCCUCUGAGAUGACUUCUGCAGCCAGAAUCUCAUCCACUCUUCUGCGUCCAUUCACAUGUCCUGGGAAGGCUUCCCUGAUCACCUCAUAGGGAUGACUGGAAAAGUCAUGGAAUGUGCUCAUGAUCCUAUCCUGGGGCAAGGAAGAAUUAGACCAUGGAGUGAUUUGAAGAGGCCAUGGAAGAAAAAAUUCAAAGUUAUUUUGUGCUUAUAAGCCCAGCUAAGU